GCGAAAAGGUUUCUUCCUUCGCAACUCUGGUGGAUUUAAGGAUAAAAGGAUAGGACUGUGGUCGGACCCUAUUGCCGGGAAAGCUAAGGCCUCCGCAUUAGGGUGAAGGAGCAACCCUUACUUUCAAUAUCCAUCAGCGAGCAUGCGUCUAAGAAGCUUCGGAAAGCUGCCAUUCUAUAGCGGUCUGCCUCUCGCCUUCCUACCUUCUCCCAAUGGGGUGUAUUAGUAGCCAUGAUUGGAGUUU